rnacentral:tRNA from 1 species
UGGGGUAUAGCACAGCAGUAGACUGCGUGCCUAGCAUGCACGAGGCCCUGGGUUCAAUUCCCAGUACCUCCA